rnacentral:rRNA from 1 species
AAUCGAACCCGGAGAUAGCUGGUUCUCUCCGAAAUAGCUUUAGGGCUAGCCUUGGAAUAGAUUACUGGAGGUAAAGCACUGAAUUGGCUAGGGGCCGAGAGGUUACUGAACCUUAUCAAACUAAGAAUGCCAGAUAAUCGUUUUCCAGGAGUCAGACAGUGGGAGAUAAGUUUCAUUGUCAAAAGGGAAACAGCCCAGACCUACAGCUAAGGUCCCAAAGUAUAGUUAAGUGGAAAAGGAUGUGGAAUUGCAUAGACAACCAGGAUGUUGGCUUAGAAGCAGCCACUCAUUAAAAGAGUGCGUAAUAGCUCACUGGUCGAGUGAUUCUGCGCCGAAAAUUUAACGGGGCUAAACUAUACACCGAAGCUUAGGAUACCGCAAGGUAUGGUAGGAGAGCGUUCUGUACGGAGUGAAGUCGUAGCGAAAGCGGCGGUGGACUGUACAGAAGUGAGAAUGCCGGAAUAAGUAGCGAGAAUUAAGUGAGAAUCUUAAUGGCCGAAAGUCUAAGGUUUUUGGAGGAAGGUUCGUCCGCUCCAAGUAAGUCGGGAGCUAAGGUCAGGCCGAAAGGCGUAGCCGAUGCACAAACGGUUGAUAUUCCGUUACCGUCUACAAUUUAAACAAGGGGACACAUACAAAGCGUUUAACCCGGGCGAUGGUUGACCCGGGCGCAAGGGACUGAAAUAAGAGUAGGGAAGUAAAUGUGGCGUAUGGCGAGAAAAGCUUUGUGUAUAGAAGUAGACGCCCGUACCGCAAACCGACACAGGUGGACAGGAAGAGAAUUCUAAGGCCAGCGGGAGAAGGGUAGUUAAGGAACUCGGCAAAUUGACUCCGUAACUUCGGAAUAAGGAGUGCUCGAAAGAGCCGCAGAGAAUAGGCCCAGGCGACUGUUUAGCAAAAACACAGGUCUCUGCCAAAUCGAAAGAUGAAGUAUAGGGGCUGACACCUGCCCGGUGCCGGAAGGUUAAGAGGAGGAGUGCAAGCUCCGAAUUGAAGCCCCGGUAAACGGCGGCCGUAACUAUAACGGUCCUAAGGUAGCGAAAUUCCUUGUCGGGUAAGUUCCGACCCGCACGAAUGGUGUAACGAUCUGGGCACUGUCUCAACUACCCACCCGGCGAAAUUGUAGUACCGGUGAAGAUGCCGGUUACCUGCGGCAAGACGGAAAGACCCCAUGGAGCUUUACUGUAGCCUGAUAUUGGGUUUCGGAAAUCUAUGUACAGGAUAGGCGGGAGACUGGGAAGUAUGAGCGUCAGCUUAUACGGAGUCAUUGUUGGGAUACCGCCCUUAGGUUUCUGGAAUUCUAACCUGCGACCGUGAAUCCGGUCGGGGGACAUUGUCAGGUGGGCAGUUUGACUGGGGCGGUCGCCUCCGAAAAGGUAACGGAGGCGCUCAAAGGUUGGCUCAGCACGGACGGAAACCGUGCCUCAGAGUGUAAACGCAAAAGCCAGCCUAACUGCGAGGAUGACGGUCCGAGCAGUAACGAAAGUUGGAGUUAGUGAUCCGGCGGUAUGUGAAUGGAAAUGCCGUCGCUCAACGGAUAAAAGCUACCCUGGGGAUAACAGGCUGAUCUCCCCCAAGAGUCCACAUCGACGGGGAGGUUUGGCACCUCGAUGUCGGCUCAUCACAUCCUGGGGCUGUAGUAGGUCCCAAGGGUUGGGCUGUUCGCCCAUUAAAGUGGUACGCGAGCUGGGUUCAGAACGUCGUGAGACAGUUCGGUCCCUAUCCGUCGCAGGCGUAGGAAAUUUGAGAAGACCUGUCCUUAGUACGAGAGGACCGGGAUGGACGUACCUCUGGUGUACCAGUUGUUCUGCCAAGGGCAUGGCUGGGUAGCUAUGUACGGAAUGGAUAAGCGCUGAAAGCAUCUAAGCGCGAAGCCAACUUCAAGAUAAGAUUUCCCACCGUAAGGGUAAGACCCCAGGAAGACUACCUGGUUGA